GUUGUUAAAAACUUAUAAAAAAGUUACAAUGUUACGUGCUGUAGAGGCUACAUUACUUGAAUGUAGCAAAUUAAUAAUAAUACAAUUAGUUAGCAAAAAAUUAAGUUGAUCUAGGGAAAAACUUCUUAAAAGAUUAGAUAGUUGGUUUAUUGAUAGUUAAACCAAGUCUUAUCUUUCGUUGGUCUGCAAGGAUGUACAACCACAUUGGGGAUGCAAAUAUCCAAAAUUUUCUUCGGAAAUCAGCAGUGAGGAAUCUUGGACAAUGAGCGAAAGCUUGAUCCAGCAAGGUGUUGUGAGAGAUGACGAGUGUUUUGUAAAGUUAGUGAAAAUUUAUUAGUAUAGUAAAAUAUUUUCUAUUAUUUUUUAUACUAUAGUAAUACAACGUAGAUUGUUGUUUUCAGGUCUGUUUGUAGUUCUUAUAAUGACGUAAACUACACAUGAAAGUCCCCGGCUAACUUCGUGCCAGCAGCCGCGGUAAUACGGGGGGGG
rnacentral:rRNA from 1 species